CUUAAAUUGAAGAGUUUGAUCAUGGCUCAGAUUGAACGCUGGCGGCAGGCCUAACACAUGCAAGU
rnacentral:rRNA from 2 species